rnacentral:lncRNA from 1 species
GGUGGUUGGAUGCACAAACUCUGGAGAUGACUUCAUGAACUUAAAUUCUGUAUUUCUCCAUUUGUAAAAGGAGACAAUGAUAAUAUUUGCUUUUCAAGGUUUUCAUAAGCAUAAGCAUUAAAUGAAUUAAUACACUUAACAAGGGUCUUUUUUUUUUUUUUUUUUUGAGACAGGGUCUAUCGCCCUGGUUGGAGUGCAGCAGUGUAAUCAUAGCUCACUGCUGCCAUGAACUUCUGGGCUCAAGCGAUCCUCCCACCUCAGCCUCCCUGUGUGCUGGGAUUAAAAGUGUGAGCCACCGUGCCUCAUCGUAAGGGUCUUAAAAGAAACCCUAUUUCAUACUUUCUUGAUGCACUUGAUAUGGAUUAUAUAAAUCUAUGGACAAAAAUGACAUCAGUACAAUGGAAUAUUGGAGUUUUCUACCAUAAUCUCUGCAUAGUGCACUGAUUUUGACAAUCACCUAUGGAUGAAAAUACAUUUGCCAGAGUCUAGGAGUUAAAUGGAAAAGUUAACAGCACACCGUUGGAGAAAAAUAUCUGGGAGUAGAUGCAUUCAAGGGAGUAAGAAGAACAAUUACCUGCAUCACCUCACCCCCAGGGUCCACUUCUUAGUGCCAAGAUAGACUCCCUUCAGCAGGCAAUUUCUCCCAUGGGGAAAAGGAGAGUAUAAUGACCAAUUGGAUGGUGCUUUUUCCAGACCCACAAAUGGCUGCCCAUGGACCAAGCAGUAUGUACUUCCUCCAUUCUGAGCCCAUGAAAACCCCAGACUCAGUCAGACUCUGACACUCAUCAGGAUGACAAGCCUGCAAAUAGGAUCUACCCAUUUUGGGUAUGCACUCCACUGAGAGCUAUUCUGUCACUCAAUAAAGCUCCUUUCUGCCUUGCUCACCCUCCAGUUAUUCACAUAACCUCAUUCUUCCUGGAUGUGGGACAAGAACUCAGGACCUGCUGAAUGGUGGGAGGGAAAGAAGCUGUAACAUGUUCCUGGCCAGCUCACCAAGCUGCAGGUGGUGACAUACUCCUGGACUAUGGGAGUGAAGAGUAGUGACCCUUCUGGGGGCCCAGACCUUGAGAUUCUCCGAGCCAGAGCUGCAGUAACACUAUAGCUCUCCUGCCCUCUGCUGGUGCUGGGUGGCCCCCCAAUGCAACAGGACGCAGCAGCAGGCCUGGGCCAGCCCAGGAGCUGGGAGCCUGAGUGGGGUGGUGGAACUGAAAGGGCUAUAACACAAACCAACCAAAACAUGCCCCACUCACUUGCUGCACUGUGGGUGAGGAGAAGGAGAAAAGAGCUGCAGCCCUUCUAGGAAGCCAGACUUUGGGGCUCCCUGAACUAGGGCUGUGACAUGCUGUAACACCUUCUUUAGGAUUCUGCACUUCCUGGCCUCUCUGAGAUUUUGGAUGCCACCGUGUUCCCUUUGUCCAGAUGCUGGUGUCCGCAGCAGAAGCCACUUGUGAUAUAUCUGGUCCAGCUGCAGCUUCACAUGGAUGAGGUGCCUGUGCCGGUGCCUGUGCCAGUGCCUGGAGCUGCCCGCCCCACCACAGCAGCUAGCAUGCCUGGCUGUGUGCAGUGCCAGAUCCCACACUUGCUCACUCACACACACCUCACCGCUCCAUGCCUGGCUUGCCCUUGGAAGGAGUACGAUCCAGGCCGGUAGCAUGAGCCAAGUGCAGCCUGCCAGCCUGAGUGGACAGAACAAGCCCAGGGGGCAUGAACAAAACUCAAGCAGAAGCACUGCUGUCCACAGAGGUUUCUGGCUGGCAAAGCAACACCCUAAGGAUCCUAUGACAAUAGGUAU